GACGAACGCUGGCGGCGUGCUUAACACAUGCAAGUCGAACGGAAAGGCCCUGCUUUUGUGGGGUGCUCGAGUGGCGAACGGGUGAGUAACACGUGAGUAACCUGCCCUUGACUUUGGGAUAACUUCAGGAAACUGGGGCUAAUACCUGAUAGGAGCUCCUGCUGCAUGGUGGGGGUUGGAAAGUUUCGGCGGUUGGGGAUGGACUCGCGGCUUAUCAGCUUGUUGGUGGGGUAGUGGCUUACCAAGGCUUUGACGGGUAGCCGGCCUGAGAGGGUGACCGGCGACAUUGGGACUGAGAUACGGCCCAGACUCCUACGGGAGGCAGCAGUGGGGAAUAUUGCACAAUGGGCGGAAGCCUGAUGCAGAAACGCCGCGUGCGGGAUGACGGCCUUCGGGGUGUAAACCGCUUUAGCCUGUGACGAAGCGUGAGUGACGGUAAUGGGUAAAGAAGCACCGGCUAACUACGUG
rnacentral:rRNA from 1 species